AAUAUUGGACAAUGGGGGCAAGCCUGAUCCAGCCAUGCCGCGUGGGGGAUGAAGGCCUUCGGGUUGUAAACCCCUUUUACCCGGGACGAUAAUGACGGUACCCGGAGAAUAAGCCCCGGCUAACUUCUUGCCAACAGCCGCGGUAUUUUUUUUAUGGCGGGG
rnacentral:rRNA from 1 species